GCUAGUAAUGGCAGGUCAGCAUACUGCCGUGAAUACGUUCCCGGGCCUUGUACACACCGCCCGUCACACCAUGAGAGUUGGGGAUACCCGAAGCCUGUGAGCUAACAGUAAUGAAGCAGCAGUCGAAGGUAGAAUCAAUGAUUGGGGUGAAGUCGUAACAAGGUAAC
rnacentral:rRNA from 1 species